UACGAAGGGGGCUAGCGUUGCUCGGAAUCACUGGGCGUAAAGGGUGCGUAGGCGGGUCUUUAAGUCAGGGGUGAAAUCCUGGAGCUCAACUCCAGAACUGCCUUUGAUACUGAGGAUCUUGAGUUCGGGAGAGGUGAGUGGAACUGCGAGUGUAGAGGUGAAAUUCGUAGAUAUUCGCAAGAACACCAGUGGCGAAGGCGGCUCACUGGCCCAAUACUGACGCUGAUGCACGAAAGCGUGGGGAGCAAACGGG
rnacentral:rRNA from 1 species